rnacentral:rRNA from 1 species
UACGUAGGGAGCAAGCGUUGUCCGGAAUCAUUGGGCGUAAAGCGCGCGUAGGUGGCCUCAUAAGUCCGCUGUGAAAGUCAAAGGCUCAACCUUUGAAAGCCGGUGGAUACUGUGAGGCUAGAGUACGGAAGAGGCGAGUGGAAUUCCUGGUGUAGCGGUGGAAUGCGCAGAUAUCAGGAAGAACACCAAUAGCGAAGGCAGCUCGCUGGGACGUUACUGACACUGAGGCGCGAAAGCGUGGGGAGCGAACAGG